rnacentral:rRNA from 1 species
CAGACGGGUGAGUAACGCGUGGGAACAUACCUUUCGGUUCGGAAUAGCCCCGGGAAACUGGGUGUAAUACCGGAUACGUCCUUAGGGAGAAAGAUUUAUCGCCGAAAGAUUGGCCCGCGUUAGAUUAGGUAGUUGGUGAGGUAAAGGCUCACCAAGCCUACGAUCUAUAGCUGGUCUGAGAGGAUGAUCAGCCACACUGGGACUGAGACACGGCCCAGACUCCUACGGGAGGCAGCAGUGAGGAAUCUUGGACAAUGGGCGAAAGCCUGAUCCAGCCAUGCCGCGUGAAUGAUGAAGGCCUUAGGGUUGUAAAAUUCUUUCAGCAGGGAAGAUAAUGACGGUACCUGCAGAAGAAGCCCCGGCUAACUCCGUGCCAGCAGCCGCGGUAAUACGGAGGGGGCUAGCGUUGUUCGGAAUUACUGGGCGUAAAGCGCUCGUAGGCGGAUUGGUCAGUCAGGGGUGAAAGCCCGGAGCUCAACUCCGGAACUGCCUUUGAUACUGCCAGUCUUGAGUUCGGGAGAGGUGAGCGGAAUACCGAGUGUAGAGGUGAAAUUCGUAGAUAUUCGGUGGAACACCAGAGGCGAAGGCGGCUCACUGGACCGAUACUGACGCUGAGGAGCGA